UACGGGCGUAUGGUGGAUGCCUUGGCAUGCUGAGCCGAUGAAGGACGUGUGAGGCUGCGUUAUGCCUCGGGGAGUUGCCAACAAAGCGUUGAUCCGAGGAUGUCCGAAUGGGGAAACCUGGCCGUGGUUAUGUGCGGUUACCCACUGGUGAAUGCAUAGCUGGUGUGGGGGUUACGCGGGGAAGUGAAACAUCUCAGUACCCGUAGGAGAAGAAAACAAUUGUGAUUCUGCUAGUAGUGGCGAGCGAACGUGGAUGAGGCUAAACCAUGUGCAUGUGAUACCUGGCAGGGGUUGUGUGUGUGGUGUUGUGGGGUUCAACUGUUCCUGGUCUGCCAGCUGGGUGCGCAAUGUCAAUGCUGUUAGCGGAAGUGGUUUGGGAUGACCUGCCGUAGAGGGUGAGAGUCCCGUACGUGAAGGUGGUGUUGGUUGUGUUGUUGGUGUCCCCGAGUAGCAGCGGGCUCGUGGAAUCUGCUGUGAAUCUGCCGGGACCACCCGGUAAGCCUAAAUACUCAAGUUGACCGAUAGCGGAAUAGUACCGUGAGGGAAUGGUGAAAAGUACCCCGGGAGGGGAGUGAAAUAGUACCUGAAACCGUGUGCUUACAAUCCGUCAGAGCCUCUUUUGUGGGGUGAUGGCGUGCCUUUUGAAGAAUGAGCCUGCGAGUCAGCGGCAUGUCGCGAGGUUAACCCGUGUGGGGUAGCCGUAGGGAAACCGAAUCCUAAUGGGGUGUUUAGUGGCAUGUCCUGGACCCGAAGCGGGGUGAUCUACCCAUGGCCAGUGUGAAGCAGCUGUAAGAGGUUGUGGAGGCGCGAACCCACGUAGGUUAAAAACUGCGGGGAUGAGCUGUGGGUAGGGGUGAAAGGCCAAUCAAACUGGGAGAUAGCUCGUACUCCCCGAAAUGCAUUUAGGUGCAGCGUCACGUGUUUCUUCCCGGAGGUAGAGCUACUGGAUGGACGAUGGGCCCUACAAGGUUAC
rnacentral:rRNA from 1 species